rnacentral:rRNA from 1 species
CCCUUCGGGGGUGAGUACAGCGGCGGACGGGUGAGUAACACGUGAGCGAUCCACCUCGAGGCGGGGGACAACCCAGGGAAACCUGGGCUAAUACCGCAUACAGCGGCAGGCAUGGAAACCUGUCGUGAAAGCUGGCCUCUCCAUGGAAGCUAGCGCCUCUGGACGAGCUCGCGGCCUAUCAGCUAGUUGGUGAGGUAACGGCUCACCAAGGCGAUGACGGGUAGCUGGCGUGAGAGCGCGAUCAGCCACACUGGGACUGAGACACGGCCCAGACUCCUACGGGAGGCAGCAGUGGGGAAUCUUGCACAAUGGGCGAAAGCCUGAUGCAGCGACGCCGCGUGGGGGAGGAAGGCCCUAGGGUUGUAAACCCCUGUCAGGUGGGACGAACCGGAGAUCGGCGAAAGCCGGUUUCUCUGACGGUACCACCAGAGGAAGCUCCGGCUAACUCCGUGCCAGCAGCCGCGGUAAAACGGAGGGAGCAAGCGUUGUUCGGAAUUACUGGGCGUAAAGGGCGCGUAGGCGGCCCUGUAAGUCGCAUGUGAAAGGCCGGGGCUCAACCCCGAGUAUUGCAUGCGAUACUGCAAGGCUAGAGACAGGUAGGGGCGAGCGGAAUUCCCGGUGUAGCGGUGGAAUGCGUAGAUAUCGGGAAGAACACCGGUGGCGAAGGCGGCUCGCUGGGCCUGUUCUGACGCUGAAGCGCGAAAGCGU